UACGGGGGGGGUAAGCGUUGCUCGGAAUCACUGGGCGUAAAGGGUGCGUAGGCGGCUUGGUGGGUCUGGUGUGAAAGCCCCGGGCUCAGCCCGGGAAGGGCACUAGAAACUGCCGAGCUGGAGUGCCGGAGGGGAGAGUGGAAUUCCUGGUGUAGCGGUGAAAUGCGCAGAUAUCAGGAGGAACACCGAUGGCGAAGGCAGGUCUCUGGGCCACUACUGACGCUGAGAAGCGAAAGCAUGGGGAGCGAACAGG
rnacentral:rRNA from 1 species